rnacentral:rRNA from 1 species
CACGUAGGGUGCGAGCGUUGUCCGGAAUUAUUGGGCGUAAAGAGCUCGUAGGUGGUUUGUCGCGUUGUUCGUGAAAACUCACAGCUUAACUGUGGGCGUGCGGGCGAUACGGGCAGACUGGAGUACUGCAGGGGAGACUGGAAUUCCUGGUGUAGCGGUGGAAAUGCUGCAGAUAUCAGGAGGAACACCGGUGGCGAAGGCGGGUCUCUGGG